CAGUCGCGCGGGAAUACGUAGGGUGCGAGCGUUAAUCGGAAUUACUGGGCGUAAAGCGUGCGCAGGCGGUUAUAUAAGACAGAUGUGAAAUCCCCGGGCUCAACCUGGGACCUGCAUUUGUGACUGUAUAGCUAGAGUACGGUAGAGGGGGAUGGAAUUCCGCGUGUAGCAGUGAAAUGCGUAGAUAUGCGGAGGAACACCGAUGGCGAAGGCAACCCCCUGGACCUGUACUGACGCUCAUGCACGAAAGCGUGGGGAGCAAACAGGAUUAGAUACCCCCGUAGUCCCUGUCUCUUAUACA
rnacentral:rRNA from 1 species